UCGCCUGUUUAUCAAAAACAUAGCCUUUAGCCAAACAAGUAUUAAAGGUCCCGCCUGCCCAGUGAUAAUUUAAACGGCCGCGGUAUUCUAACCGUGCAAAGGUAGCGUAAUCACUUGUCUCCUAAAUAGAGACCAGUAUGAACGGCUAAAUGAGGACAAACCUGUCUCUUACAACUAAUCAGUGAAACUGAUCUUCCAGUACAAAAGCUGGGAUAUUAUCAUAAGACGAGAAGACCCUGUGGAGCUUCAAACCGGCCAUCAACAAAUCAACAAACAAUAUACUGACGGACAGUUUUAAGUUGGGGCGACUUCGGGAAAAAACAAAACUCCCAAGCACAGAGCCAAAAGCUCUAACCACGGCCAACAAGCCAAAAUUAUACCAAAUAGACCCAGUAAUACUGAGCAACGAACCAAGUUACCCCAGGGAUAACAGCGCUAUCUUCUUCAAGAGUCCAUAUCGACAAGAAGGUUUACGACCUCGAUGUUGGAUCAGGACACCCAAAUGGUGCAGCCGCUAUUAAAGGUUCGUUUGUUCAACGAUUAACAGUCCUACGUGAUCUGAGUUCAGACCGGA
rnacentral:rRNA from 1 species